UACGGGGGGGGCAAGCGUUGUUCGGAAUUACUGGGCGUAAAGCGCGCGCAGGCGGUUUUUCAAGUCAGUGGUGAAAGCCCGGAGCUCAACUCCGGAACUGCCAUUGAAACUGUGAAACUUGAGGAUGAGAGAGGUGAGUGGAAUUCCCAGUGUAGAGGUGAAAUUCGUAGAUAUUGGGAAGAACACCGGUGGCGAAGGGGGCUCACUGGCUCAUUUCUGACGCUCAGGCGCGACAGCGUGGGGAUCAAACAGG
rnacentral:rRNA from 1 species